rnacentral:RNase_P_RNA from 1 species
CGGGUAGGCCGGGUGAUCGCUGUUCUGGGUCUCGCUUGGAGUCUCAGAAGGGAGGAAAGUCCGGACUCCGCAGGGCAACGCGCCUGGUAACGCCAGGGGGUCGUCGCGGCCGCUCCCCGAGGGAGCGGGUGCGGCGGCUACGGAAAGUGCCACAGAGAAUAGACCGCCGAAGUGCUCCGGCUCUGUGACAGGUUCGAGGCACGCCUCGAACACGUCUUCCACUGCCGGCACUGGCAAGGGUGAAACGGUGGGGUAAGAGCCCACCGCCCCGACAGCAAUGUCGGGGGCACGGUAAACCCC